ACUCCUACGGGGAGGCAGCAGUAGGGAAUCUUCCACAAUGGACGAAAGUCUGAUGGAGCAACGCCGCGUGAGUGAAGAAGGGUUUCGGCUCGUAAAACUCUGUUGUUAAAGAAGAACAUAUCUGAGAGUAACUGUUCAGGUAUUGACGGUAUUUAACCAGAAAGCCACGGCUAACUACGUGCCAGCAGCCGCGGUAAUACGUAGGUGGCAAGCGUUGUCCGGAUUUAUUGGGGCGUAAAAGCGAGCGCAGGCGGUUUUUGAGUCUGAUGUGAAAGCCUUCGGCUCAACCGAAGAAGUGCAUCGGAAACUGGGGAAACUUGAGUGCAGAAGAGGACAGUGGAACUCCAUGUGUAGCGGUGAAAUGCGUAGAUAUAUGGAAGAACACCAGUGGCGAAGGCGGCUGUCUGGUCUGUAACUGACGCUGAGGCUCGAAAGUAUGGGUAGCAAACAGGAUUAGAUACCCCUGGUAGGAUAGCG
rnacentral:rRNA from 1 species